AGUGAACGCUGGCGGUAGGCCUAAUACAUGCAAGUCGAACGGCAGCACAGGAGAGCUUGCUCUCUGGGUGGCGAGUGGCGGACGGGUGAGGAAUACAUCGGAAUCUACUCUGUCGUGGGGGAUAACGUAGGGAAACUUACGCUAAUACCGCAUACGACCUACGGGUGAAAGCAGGGGAUCUUCGGACCUUGCGCGAUUGAAUGAGCCGAUGUCGGAUUAGCUAGUUGGCGGGGUAAAGGCCCACCAAGGCGACGAUCCGUAGCUGGUCUGAGAGGAUCAUCAGCCAAACUGGAACUGAGACACGGUCCAGACUCCUACGGGAGGCAGCAGUGGGGAAUAUUGGACAAUGGGCGCAAGCCUGAUCCAGCCAUACCGCGUGGGUGAAGAAGGCCUUCGGGUUGUAAAGCCCUUUUGUUGGGAAAGAAAUCCAGCUGGCUAAUACCCGGUUGGGAUGACGGUACCCAAAGAAUAAGCACCGGCUAACUUCGUGCCAGCAGCCGCCGCCG
rnacentral:rRNA from 1 species